CGAGAGAUGAAGAGGUCAUGGACAGCAGUGGAUUUUGUAAUAUUGCAAACAGUGCAUGUAUUCCAGAGGGCAGUAUUGAAGGAGGAUUUAGAGAAAGAGUAACAUGAGAUGGGUAUGAGAUUGGUGUGGUUCCUUGAGUUAGUACGUGGUGGGUUUGCUGAGAUGGGACCAGGGUUUGGAGAGACAUCACUAGCUGCUAGGGGCAGAAGGAUAGAAAGGAAGUGAAGGUGGGAGUAGGAUUUGAAAGUUUUGUAGGAGGGUAUAUAUAUAGAGGAUUUGGGAGGAGUUGAAGGAGAUAGGUUGGAAAGGUAUAUGUAGAGUGCAUGGGAGGAAGAAAGAGGGUAGGGGAGUAAAGUAGAAGUAAUGAAUGCCAGGUGAGCAGAAGGAUUGGGAUAUUUUAGUAAUGAGAGAAGUUAGUGUGAUUUGCACUAUCUAUAAGUAUGGUAAUGACCAUGGGGUGGGCUGGGGUGGUGCAAGGAGAGUAGGCAGCUUUCCAGAGAUGAUAGCUCUGCUUAGGCUUUUCAGAAGGGCUUGGUUGCUUGUCAGUACUGGGUGUUGAUAAUCAAUGCUGUUAUUAAGGGCCCAGUCUCUGUGUAGGCUUUCCUGCAGUGCUUGGUUGCUUGUGAGUACUGGAAGUUGAUAAUUAAUGCUUUUAUUAGGGGCCCAGUUUCUGGUUAGGCUUUUCUGCAGGGCUUGGUUGCUUGUGAGUACUGGAUGUUAUUAUUAUCACAUCACAUAAAUUGACAGAGAUGGCAUUUUCACAAUUAUAAAUACUAAAAAGAGGAGAUAAUUGAAAUUGUAAAUGUAAAGAUUUUAGACAACAUUACUAUACUAAAAGUAAAUCAUGUAAU